rfam:Candidatus Altiarchaeales archaeon WOR_SM1_86-2 WORSMTZ_2694, whole genome shotgun sequence.
AUAAUCGCGAGGUUAUGGGUGAAGGAAGCUGCAGACAAAAUCGCAUGCCAAAACGCAAGUGAACACAAGCAAAUGAAGCAUGAUGGGUAUGCAGUGUGUUUAGGGUUGGCAUGUGAUGAAAGUGGAUGGU